CGACUCUGGUUUCUCUUCAUUACGCACAAGCCUUUCGCCUUUUAUAAAGACUUCCGUGGAGAGGAAAC
rnacentral:snRNA from 8 species